rnacentral:rRNA from 1 species
GAAAACUAUUUAGGUAGUGCCUCGAGUAUGAGACUGAUGGGGGUAAAGCACUGUUAUGGCUAGGGGGUUAUUGCAACUUACCAACCCAUGGCAAACUAAGAAUACCAUCAAGUGGUUCCUCGGGAGACAGACAGCGGGUGCUAACGUCCGUUGUCAAGAGGGAAACAACCCAGACCGCCAGCUAAGGUCCCAAAUGAUAGAUUAAGUGGUAAACGAAGUGGGAAGGCCCAGACAGCCAGGAUGUUGGCUUAGAAGCAGCCAUCAUUUAAAGAAAGCGUAAUAGCUCACUGGUCGAGUCGUCCUGCGCGGAAGAUGUAACGGGGCUCAAAUCUAUAACCGAAGCUGCGGAUGCUAGUUUACUGGCAUGGGAGGGGAGCGUUCUGUAGGCCAAUGAAGGUGCAUUGUAAAGUGUGCUGGAGGUAUCAGAAGUGCGAAUGUUGACAUGAGUAGCGAUAAAGCGGGUGAAAAGCCCGCUCGCCGAAAGCCCAAGGUUUCCUACGCAACGUUCAUCGGCGUAGGGUGAGUCGGCCCCUAAGGCGAGGCAGAAAUGCGUAGUCGAUGGGAAACAGGUUAAUAUUCCUGUACUUGAUUCAAAUGCGAUGUGGGGACGGAGAAGGUUAGGUUAGCAAGCUGUUGGAAUAGCUUGUUUAAGCCGGUAGGUGGAAGACUUAGGCAAAUCCGGGUCUUCUUAACACCGAGAAGUGACGACGAGUGUCUACGGACAUGAAGUAACCGAUACCACGCUUCCAGGAAAAGCCACUAAGCUUCAGUUUGAAUCGAACCGUACCGCAAACCGACACAGGUGGGCAGGAUGAGAAUUCUAAGGCGCUUGAGAGAACUCGGGAGAAGGAACUCGGCAAAUUGAUACCGUAACUUCGGGAGAAGGUAUGCCCUCUAAGGUUAAGGACUUGCUCCGUAAGCCCUGGAGGGUCGCAGAGAAUAGGUGGCUGCGACUGUUUAUUAAAAACACAGCACUCUGCUAACACGAAAGUGGACGUAUAGGGUGUGACGCCUGCCCGGUGCUGGAAGGUUAAUUGAAGAUGUGCAAGCAUCGGAUCGAAGCCCCAGUAAACGGCGGCCGUAACUAUAACGGUCCUAAGGUAGCGAAAUUCCUUGUCGGGUAAGUUCCGACCCGCACGAAUGGCGUAACGAUGGCCACACUGUCUCCUCCCGAGACUCAGCGAAGUUGAAGUGGUUGUGAAGAUGCAAUCUACCCGCUGCUAGACGGAAAGACCCCGUGAACCUUUACUGUAGCUUUGCAUUGGACUUUGAAGUCACUUGUGUAGGAUAGGUGGGAGGCUUUGAAGCAGAGACGCCAGUCUCUGUGGAGCCGUCCUUGAAAUACCACCCUGGUGUCUUUGAGGUUCUAACCCAGACCCGUAAUCCGGGUCGGGGACCGUGCAUGGUAGGCAGUUUGACUGGGGCGGUCUCCUCCCAAAGAGUAACGGAGGAGUUCGAAGGUUACCUAGGUCCGGUCGGAAAUCGGACUGAUAGUGCAAUGGCAAAAGGUAGCUUAACUGCGAGACCGACAAGUCGAGCAGGUGCGAAAGCAGGACAUAGUGAUCCGGUGGUUCUGUAUGGAAGGGCCAUCGCUCAACGGAUAAAAGGUACUCCGGGGAUAACAGGCUGAUUCCGCCCAAGAGUUCAUAUCGACGGCGGAGUUUGGCACCUCGAUGUCGGCUCAUCACAUCCUGGGGCUGUAGUCGGUCCCAAGGGUAUGGCUGUUCGCCAUUUAAAGUGGUACGUGAGCUGGGUUUAAAACGUCGUGAGACAGUUUGGUCCCUAUCUGCAGUGGGCGUUGGAAGUUUGACGGGGGCUGCUCCUAGUACGAGAGGACCGGAGUGGACGAACCUCUGGUGUACCGGUUGUAACGCCAGUUGCAUAGCCGGGUAGCUAAGUUCGGAAGAGAUAAGCGCUGAAAGCAUCUAAGCGCGAAACUCGCCUGAAGAUGAGACUUCCCUUGUGGUUUAACCACACUAAAGAGUCGUUCGAGACCAGGACGUUGAUAGGUGGGGUGUGGAAGCGCGGUAACGCGUGAAGCUAACCCAUACUAAUUGCUCGUGAGGCUUGACUCU